AUACGGGGGGUGCAAGCGUUGUUCGGAAUUAUUGGGCGUAAAACGCGUGUAGGCGGUUUGAUUAGUCUGAUGUGAAAGCCCUGGGGCUCAACCCAGGAAGUGCAUUGGAAACUGUCAGACUUGAAUACGGGAGAGGGUAGUGGAAUUCCUAGUGUAGGAGUGAAAUCCGUAGAUAUUAGGAGGAACACCGGUGGCGAAGGCGGCUACCUGGACCGAUAUUGACGCUGAGACGCGAAAGCGUGGGUAGC
rnacentral:rRNA from 1 species